rnacentral:rRNA from 1 species
AGGCUGAGACACGAUGCGGAUAAAAAGUGGGUGAUCCUAUGCUGCCGAGAAAAGCAUCGACGCGAGGUUCUAGCCGCCCGUACCCCAAACCGACUCAGGUGGUCAGGUAGAGAAUACCAAGGAGAUCGAGAGAAUCGUGGUUAAGGAACUCGGCAAAAUGCCCCCGUAACUUCGGGAGAAGGGGGGCCAUCCACUUAUUAGGACUUGCUCCGAAAGGGUGUGGUGGCCGCAGAGACUAGUGGGUAGCGACUGUUUACUAAAAACACAGGUCCGUGCCAAGUCGCAAGACGAUGUAUACGGACUGACGCCUGCCCGGUGCUGGAAGGUUAAGAGGACCGGUUAGCCGCAAGGCGAAGCUGAGAAUUUAAGCCCCAGUAAACGGCGGUGGUAACUAUAACCAUCCUAAGGUAGCGAAAUUCCUUGUCGGGUAAGUUCCGACCUGCACGAAUGGCGUAACGACUUCCCAACUGUCUCAACCGCGAACUCGGCGAAAUUGCAUUACGAGUAAAGAUGCUCGUUACGCGCAGCAGGACGGAAAGACCCCGUGACCUUUACUACAGCUUGGUAUUGGUGUUCGGUGUGGCUUGUGUAGGAUAGGUGGGAGACGGUGAAGCAUUCACGCCAGUGAGUGUGGAGUCAUUGUUGAAAUACCACUCUGGUCACUCUGGAUAUCUAACUUAGGACCGUGAUCCGGUUCAGGGACAGUGCCUGGUGGGUAGUUUAACUGGGGCGGUUGCCUCCCAAAAUGUAACGGAGGCGCCCAAAGGUUCCCUCAACCUGGUUGGCAAUCAGGUGGCGAGUGUAAGUGCACAAGGGAGCUUGACUGUGAGACUGACAGGUCGAGCAGGGACGAAAGUCGGGACUAGUGAUCCGGCAGUGGCUUGUGGAAGCGCUGUCGCUCAACGGAUAAAAGGUACCUCGGGGAUAACAGGCUGAUCUUGCCCAAGAGUCCAUAUCGACGGCAUGGUUUGGCACCUCGAUGUCGGCUCGUCGCAUCCUGGGGCUGGAGUAGGUCCCAAGGGUUGGGCUGUUCGCCCAUUAAAGCGGUACGCGAGCUGGGUUUAGAACGUCGUGAGACAGUUCGGUCCCUAUCCGCUGCGCGCGUAGGAAGUUUGAGAGGAUCUGACCCUAGUACGAGAGGACCGGGUUGGACGAACCUCUGGUGUGUCAGUUGUUCCGCCAGGAGCACCGCUGAUUAGCUACGUUCGGGAUGGAUAACCGCUGAAAGCAUCUAAGCGGGAAGCCGGCCUCAAGAUGAGACUUCCAUACCAUUUAUGGUGAGAGGCUCCCAGCCAGACUACUGGGUUGAUAGGCCGGAUGUGGAAGCGUAGUAAUACGUGAAGCUGACCGGUACUAAUAAGCCGAUGACUUGAUAACA